rnacentral:lncRNA from 10 species
GCCGCAGACGGCGAAAACCAGAGGUGGUUACAGUCAAGUUUAGGGACUGCAGGAGCGAAUUCCCGAAGGCUUGCAGGAGCCGCCCGGCUCUGCCUCCAGCCUUUCUCUCUGGGCCUAGCGGGACUCUCCCAGGCAGGCCCCUCCCUGCCCGCGGGCGCACUUUCCCCGCCUGCAUCUGAGGCGUGGCGCAGCUGGGAGCAAAGCACAGGUGGGCUGGGCGCGGUUUGGGGUUCGGGCGUGGCAGAGUGGCGGCGGGGUCUGGGGAAGAGUUGUCUUGGGGGCAGCGCCAGCCACCAGAGCCCGAGUCAGCGCGGCCAGGACUCUGCAGGGGCAGGUAGCGACCCUUAGAGACGCAACGUGGCGCAGCGGACUCGGCUGCGUGGGGCAAGGGCCGGGGCCGGACACAGGAGCAGCGGGGAUGCCGGGUGCGCUCCGAGGGUGUGGCCCCCGGGCUGUGCGGGGCUCAGAGCUGCUUGCUGGGCGCGGUGCCCGACAAAGCUCCAUUUCUGGCCUUUGGUCUCUUUCUCGGAAAGCAGGCCUCAGUGGCCUCAGUUUCUUCCCAGAACCUGCAAUGCCCCACCAAGGUGACAAGAAGUGCAAGGAGUCGGUUUUCACUGCCAACCAAAGAGGUGACCCCCGCAAAGCAACCAUGUUGGGACAGUCCAUUUGCUGCGUUUUGAUUAUUUGCUAAGAGCAAAUACCUUUUCUGUUUGGGUUUUGCUUUUAGAAAAAAAAUGUGGCAGAUGGUGGUGGCUUUCCCCGUCAUUGAAAGAAGAAAGGUAGUAACUCUACUGGUGCACUCCUCUGAGUUGUGCUAACAAAGAAGAAUGCUGAAAGAAAAGGGAAAUGAACACCAUUUUCAGGCAGCUUCUCCAAGUUUUUUUGACAGUGUUAUAAUUUUCCUUUAGCGACUGUUGAAGCAAAUAUCUGUAUUUAUGUUCAGAUUAAACCGAGAGAGCAAAGACUGCUAAAGCCAGUAAUUUCUGGGCUGCAAAUGCAGGAUAGCUCCAGUGAAUUUCAGAUUCUUAAAGGUUUUUGCUGUAGCGAAUUCAUGACACAAAGCAUUUGGAGGGAAACCUAUUAGAGAAGAAACACAUCCUAAAUGAGAAUUACUGAGGACGGGAGGCUCUUGUCAUUUAUUGGAUUAGUUAUAGCACUUUACACAAGCCUGUAAUAUUUGUUCUGCUGCUGUGGUGUGACUGGUAAAAUGAAAAGGUAUGUCAAGGGAGUGCUUGACUGACGUUCUUAUUUCUUCCGUCUUCUUAUAUUGCUGGGAGGAUUCUACCACUGCAGGGCUAGAAAUUAAUAUCACACUCAUUUGAUAGGAAGAGCAAAAGCAAGGUUAUGAGUCAGAGACAUUUUGGUCCCAGAACAAUAACUCUAUUGAUUGAGUCAAAUAUGUUUAACUCCAACAGCAAGACCUUCCAUCUGCGUGAAAUAAUCAUGUCCGUUAAUUGUAAACAGGAGCAUCUUUGAAAGCUGAGCUAGAGGCGGAGCAACUGGUAAACCAGAUGUCCCAAAUUUCUAGCGCUUAGAGGAAGCAUCUGGGAUUGAGCCAUCUCACAUCUGUCUAAUCACAUUCAUUCAAAUGUGAUGGGCCCAACUGGCCUACGUACAUGGCUGCAUAUCACCAUGGGUGGAAAUUAAAUCAGAAUUUGGCUCAGGAGAGAGAUGAAGAGAAAAUGCACGUAGAUAAUUGGCUCAGAUAACAUUCUGUUUCUGGAAGUCACAAAGAGUGGAAAUUGGAAUAUGUAAAUUAAAGAAAAACAGGUAAGAAUUCACAUGAACCCCAACCACACACCCUGUGUAUGUUCUCAUUCUCAUUCUCUCUAUGGUGCCUGUGAGCAGUUGGAGUUUGAAUUUUUCAGUCAGUAAGGUUUGCUGUUUAUUCGAGGGCUGCUCCUAAAAAAUAAUCAGGUCUAGUCAAGAAUAUAGAAAAGUGAAAUUAUGCAUAUUUUCCUGGGGAAUAUAAUAGAUGUUCUCAUAGUCUUACAAUGUAAAAAAAAUGAAGGUAAGACUCUAGCUCCCUUUCUUCUAUCUUUCUGGCCUCAUUUUAGGCUAAUAUUUUCUUUUGCAACCAUAUACCAAAUUAUUACAUAUGGAAGCUGUGAAACUGAAGGUUCUGUAAAACUUUAAAGCCAGAGAACUUAUGACUCCUCCAUAUAGGAAGAGAAAUGGGAGAAUAUUAGGCUGUUUUUAAUACUGGGCAUCUGGUAUUUUUCAGUCCUUAAGAUCAAGUCCGCAAUGGAAGAAGAGCAUUCAUCUGGUACAGGUUGAUGAUUGUGUAAGCCCAAGGAGUGAUGUCAACACUGGGGUUCACCUGAGAACAUGGACAUGGUUGAUGAGGGUUUAGGAGAUGCUCAUACGAAGUCUUCAUAUGUUCCCUGGAUCCCAGCUCUGCCUUCCCACCAGAGAGGAUGUAAUUCAGCCGAGAUGCCCAGAGUCAGCUCUCUGCUCAUAUCUGUUCCGCACUGAAGCCAAUCAUCUGAGAAACCUAAGAAGUGUUUAAUGUAGUUAGGAAAGUGAGGGAUGAAGACCAUAAAUUCCUUUUCAUGUAGCAGAGUAUAUAUGUGAUACUCAUUCUGUGGUAUUUGGGGCAUAAACAAGAGUCGAUGAAGGAAUGUGAAAGUACUCGAAAUCCUGACUUUUAUCUCUAUAAAAAUGGCAUAGGGAUGAAACACACUUGGUUGUUAUGACUGUACUCUUUUCAGAUUUACUACUUGCCUUUCUACUGAUUUUUCUGUGCCACAGGUCUUGACUCCUGUAGGCUAAAUUUCUCAGCCUCUUCUGCUCACUGAUAUAUGGGAAGGUUUGGCCAAAGGUGGGUGACUGGUGGGGAGAAGGAUGAGGGAAUUCAGGGGAUUGCUGAGCCCAUUCUCUAGACAGUGCUGCUGGCACUGGCUCUGUCUUCUCCGUUUCCAUCUCGCAUCAGACGGUUCUUCCCUCUAUGGGCCUAGUCCUACCUAGACACUUUCCAGUUGGAUUCCAGUUCUGGGGAUGCUCCCUCCUGCAGGGAUCUAAGUCCUUCCCAUUGUCUUCGGCUCCUGGGCUCAGCUAGAACCAUCUUUUCCCAUUGUCCCUGUGGUGCUAGGGCUUUCAGUGGUUAUUAACGUCUGUGUUGUAUCAUCUUGCCUGAAUUUCAGCUCUCUGUAACCAGUUCCCCAAAUAAAAUUCCCCCCAUUUACCUACCUUCUGUGAGUCUGUUUGCCUGACAUGACCGUAUUAAGUAUACCCGAUAUAUUAGUGAGCUUCGGAUGAUAUCACAAUGUGCCGUAGACUGGGUGGCAUAAAAAACAAAGGAAUGUAUUUCUCAUUGUUCUGGAGCUGGGAAGUCCAAGAUAAAGGUGCUAGCCAAUUCUAUUUCUGAUGAGGGCUCUCUUCCUGGCUUGUGGAUGGCCACCUUGUCACUCUAU